GAGUUUGAUCCUGGCUCAGAGCGAACGCUGGCGGCGUGCUUAACACAUGCAAGUCGAACGCGCAGUCUUCUGUAGCAAUACAGGAGGCCGGCGCGUGGCGAACGGGUGCGUAACACGUGGAUAACCUUCCUUCAGGUGGGGAAUAACCCAGUGAAAAUUGGGCUAAUACCGCAUAACAUGACGAUGGCACAUGCCGUUGUCUUCAAAGCCGCAAGGCGCCAGAUGAGGGAUCCGCGGCCGAUUAGCUAGUUGGCGAGGUAAUGGCUCACCAAGGCAAUGAUCGGUAGCCGGACUGAGAGGUUGGCCGGCCACACUGGAACUGAGACACGGUCCAGACUCCUACGGGAGGCAGCAGUGGGGAAUCUUGCGCAAUGGACGAAAGUCUGACGCAGCAACGCCGCGUGGGGGAUGAAGCUUCUCGGAGUGUAAACCCCUUUCGACCCGGACGAAUGCCCGCAAGGGUUUGACGGUACGGGUAUAAGAAGCCCCGGCUAACUACGUGCCAGCAGCCGCGGUAAAACGUAGGGGGCCAGCGUUGCUCGGAAUUACUGGGCGUAAAGGGUCCGUAGGCGGUGUGGCAAGUCGGAAGUGAAAUCUCUGGGCUUAACUCAGAGGCUGCUCCCGAAACUGCCAUGCUAGAGUGUGAGAGAGGCGAGUGGAAUUGCGGGUGUAGCGGUGAAAUGCGUAGAUAUCCGCAGGAACAUCCGAGGCGAAAGCGGCUCGCUGGAUCACAACUGACGCUGAGGGACGAAAGCUAGGGGAGCAAACAGGAUUAGAUACCCUGGUAGUCCACGCCGUAAACGAUGAUAACUAGCUGUUGGGAAGAUAAAACUUCUUAGUAGCGAAGCUAACGCGAUAAGUUAUCCGCCUGGGGAGUACGGCCGCAAGGUUAAAACUCAAAGGAAUUGACGGGGGCCCGCACAAGCGGUGGAGCAUGUGGUUUAAUUCGAUGCAACGCGAAGAACCUUACCUACUCUUGACAUCCUCAGAAUUUGUCUGAAAAGACUUAGUGCCUUCGGGAACUGAGAGACAGGUGCUGCAUGGCUGUCGUCAGCUCGUGUCGUGAGAUGUUGGGUUAAGUCCCGUAACGAGCGCAACCCCUAUCCUUACUUGCCAUCAGGUUAUGCUGGGAACUUUAAGGAGACUGCCGGUGAUAAACCGGAGGAAGGUGGGGACGACGUCAAGUCAUCAUGGCCCUUAUGAGUAGGGCUACACACGUGCUACAAUGGUCGGUACAAAGGGUUGCGAAGCCGCGAGGUGAAGCUAAUCUCAAAAAGCCGAUCUCAGUCCGGAUUGGAGUCUGCAACUCGACUCCAUGAAGAUGGAAUCGCUAGUAAUCGCGAAUCAGAACGUCGCGGUGAUACGUUCUCGGGCCUUGCACACAC
rnacentral:rRNA from 1 species